UACAGAGGGGGCAAGCGUUGUUCGGAAUUACUGGGCGUAAAGGGCGCGUAGGUGGCCUUCUAAGUUGAACGUGAAAUCCCUGAGCUCAACCCAGGAACUGCGUCCAAGACUGGGAGGCUUGAAUCCGGGAGAGGGAUGCGGAAUUCCAGGUGUAGCGGUGAAAUGCGUAGAUAUCAGGAGGAACACCGGUGGCGAAGGCGGCAUCCUGGGCCGGCAUUGACGCUGAGGCGCGAAAGCCAGGGGAGCAAACGGG
rnacentral:rRNA from 1 species